AGUCUCAGAAGUUUAAUAAGUCUCAGUAGUCUCAGAAGUUUAAUAAGUUUCACAAGGUUAAUGAGCAUAUAGACACGAAAAGUUUACAUGGCAUACGAGAUUAACAAGCAUCAAAAUUGUUUCAUUUUAAAUACUCAUAUCCAACAUGAACAACAUAAUACAAGUUACUAAUAUGCUGAAACAGUAUCACUAUAUGUCAAACCCAAGUUUCCAACGCACACGCCCCAAGACUCACUCAAGGGCGGCGCAUACUCCUAUACAAUAGGAGAUUUAAUAAGUCUCAGAAGUUUAAUAAGUCUCAGUAGUCU
rnacentral:lncRNA from 1 species